rnacentral:ncRNA from 2 species
UAAUGAGCCGACGACUGGCGCCCUCCGAGGCGGAAUCGACCGCCGGGAAGUCUUUUCCUCCCCUGUCGCGCGCCUGGGCAGGGGGA